CCUUCAAAUGGCUCAGUCUACCCAGGCAAAACAAAAGUCCCCUCAAGCUGUAUUGGAACUUGGAGUGAUCAAUCAAGAUUCAAAGAACAUGGAGAAAGUGUUUGUGGAAUUCAAUCAUCAAGAAUUGUUUGAGUUCUAUAACAAGCUGGAAACUAUACAAGCACAGCUGGAUUCCCUUACAUGAUACUGUUAGAAGAUUAACUUCUCCAUCACAUUCCUGCCAUUUCAAUAUUUUCUAUUAAAGAUAGGUCAACUGUGUGCUGGAAGUACUCAAGUGAUUGCUUUUGGUAAAUGGCUUAUCUUUUCUUUGACCAGUAAUGUCAGCUAAAUGAAAUUUUAAGAGAACUGAUGUUCUAAUUCAUUGCUUCGCAUUUCAGCUCACAGUGUUCAAAAACAGUUUUACUAUGUGUGUAUAUGUCUGGAGCCAUGGUGGGGAAAGCGCACACUGUAAUGUUUUCCAGUUGUUUUGACAUGCACUUAUGAUGCUUUAUUUUGUGGGGCACCAUAUGGAAGAUGCCAGUUUAUAGAACGUUGAGGAAUGAA